UGUGCUUCUUCCCCACACACGGACGUCGCCGCCUCUCGCCCCUCGCGCCGCGCUCGCCAGCCGGCUCGGCCGCUCGAGCCCGAGCCACUCCUCGCUCUCCCCUCUCCUCUCCCUCUGCCGCCUGGGCCGGCACCCGAGCGCCCACCUCGGCUGAGCUUAAUCGCGCCGAGCGCGCUCACCCCGCGUCGCCUCUUGCCCGAGCCGCUCCUUCUCCCCGCAUGCUUAUCUCUUCCCCAAAACCCUAACCUCCGAUCCGAUUCCCUCGCGUGGGAACCCCCGCCGCCGUUAUAUAACCGGGAAGGGGGCGCUCGUGAGGGAGGAGGCCGAUUGGAUCUGCGAGAGCAAGAGAGAGAGGAGAGGUAGAGAGAAGAGAGAGAGAGAGAGGAGAUAAAGAGAGCCUCCAUCUUUGUUGCCGUCGCUGUUCGAGCUCGCCAGAGUGCCAUGGCCGGCCUCGCUUUAGCUGUCUUGCAGACUCGGAGACGAUUUGACGACAACCAGCGCAAAGCAGCUUAAUCGGAGGUUGUCUGGCCGGGAGCCGGACGUAAUUAACCGGCAGCCUCACGAGGCCCUAGGAACCAGGACAACAUUCACCGGAGAAGACUUAGUCGGAUAGCAUGUGCGUUUGUAUGUGUGGAGUGAAUUGUAAAUAUGAAACUGUACUUUAUGAUUUCGAUAAUGAAUGAAUGAAGUUAUGUGUUUUAAUUA